rnacentral:rRNA from 1 species
ACCUCAUAGUAUGUGAGGAUGGCAUCAUUUCACNUUAAAGUCACAACGGCAAAAGAUGAGCAUGCGUCCCAUUAGCUAGUUGGUAAGGUAACGGCUUACCAAGGCUACGAUGGGUAGGGGUCCUGAGAGGGAGAUCCCCCACACUGGUACUGAGACACGGACCAGACUCCUACGGGAGGCAGCAGUGAGGAAUAUUGGACAAUGGGCGCAAGCCUGAUCCAGCCAUGCCGCGUGCAGGAUGACGGUCCUAUGGAUUGUAAACUGCUUUUGUACAGGAAGAAACACUACUUCGUGAAGUAGCUUGACGGUACUGUAAGAAUAAGGAUCGGCUAACUCCGUG